UACACGGGAUAAAAAGGAAAGGAGCACAAACCGGGAGGGAAAUAGUUUCGGUAUUGACUGAGAGGUUUUAAUUGCGGUCGAUGCAUGUCAGAAAACAUACAUUUUAACAUGCCGGCCCCGUGUUUUGCAGCAAAUGGAAGAAUUGCUGCGGACCUGAGGCUGCGAUAGGCAGAGGUGAUUGCCACCAUCUUUAUUAGGGGCAAUGAUCUUUGGGACUCAUGCCGGAUCGCCAUAUUUAUAGGUGGCAACCUGCAGCGGAACGCAAGCGCAGCCUUUCUUUUUGGGGGGGCGGGUAUAUAGAAGCGAAAUGUGUUUUUUUUUCUCUGGACUUCUUCCCCAGACUGAGACGAGGCGUGUAUUUCCUGGGAAGGACUUUUGACGCUGGCGAAGUACUGGCUUCAGGCAGUAUAAAUUGCUGCAGUUAAACGUUAGAUACUUAGUGGAGGAGAAAUGCCGAAAACGCGUUCAGAACUGCAUGUUCAAAAACAGAGUUGGUGGAAAAGCUCAGGUAUUAAUUGAGAAUAAUUUGCAGACCAGGAUCCCAAUGCAAGUUCUCCAUUAAGCAGACUGAUCAGGAUCUGAGUAUCAUUGACACUUAAAUGCGAAAGGGAAGAGGUUUAACCAUUCUGUCCAUGGGAGAAUAUUCCUGGGAAGGUUGUAACUUGAAAGCAGAAUAUUCAAAUUUUUGGUUUGAUCACCCCUGGGAUAAGUGUUGAGUUCUAUACCCUGCAGCUGAGAAAGGAGAUAUUGGCCUGAGAGGGGCAGUUUUGUCCAAACAACACCUCGUCUCCUUGAAAGAACUGUCAUAUUUAGUCCCAAUCGCCCACUUCAUGAUUUUAAUCUAUAUAUUCUUCAUUCUUGAAUAUCUGCAAACUUCCUUUUAAAAUUCCUUAUGGGCACAAAUUCCAGCACCCCUUCAAGUGGAAUCUUCCAGAUCCUGACAACUCUAUUGAUCCUGAAACUGCUGAAGUCUGUGAUGAGUCCUGAGGGUUAUAAAUUACUGCAUUUAACGUGAAGAUGCUGUUCCCUGAGCUCCCAUUGAGCUGAAUUGAAACAGUAUGGGAGGCUGAGAUCAGAGUGGGUGUGAGCAGACAAUGAAAAUGAAAAGGCUGCACUGAGAGUGUUGCUUGGCUAAAUGAGAGUGCUUUGGAGUUGGGUGAAACAGAAAGAAAGUGAAACUGAAAGAUUGAGUGUGAUGCUCAGUCUCAGUUUGGGCAGUUCAGAAAGUCUCACCGUCCUAACGGAAACAGUCAAUUGAUAAUUGAUACUGUAAAGAAUUUUCUUACAGUUUUUAAAGUAUAUAUUAGCUUAUAUAAAGUUAGCGACUUUUGAUUUUAUAAUAGUAAUGUUUGAAAUGAAGGGGAAGGACCUAGCUUCAUUAAAUUCUCUUUAAGGCAGAAACUGGCUUAAUCUGGAGAGAAGUCACAACAGAAGACCUCAGGUCUGUGGUGUCCUUGUCUAGCACAACAGAACAUAGACCCUUGAUGUUGUGUCGACCUGGGAAAUCAAACUGAAGCCCAUUUAACCCACACUAUUCCAUUAUCAUCCAUAUGUUUAUCCAAUGACCACUUAAAUGCCCUUAAACUUGGCGAGUCUACUACUGUUGCAGGCAGGGCAUUUCACGCCCUUACUACUCUGAGUAAAGAACCUACCUCUGACAUCUGUCCUACAACUAUCACCCCUCAAUUUAAAGCUAUGGCCCCUCGUGCUAGCCACCUCCAUCUGAGGAAGAAGGAUCUCAGUGUCCGCCCUAUCUACUCCUCAUAUCAGCUUGUAUGUCUCUAUUAGGUCACCUCUUAACCUUCUUCUAACGAAAACAGCCUCAAGUCCCUCAACUUUUCCUCAAAAGACCUUCCCUCAAUACCAGGGAACAUCCAGGUAAAUCUCCUGUGCACCCUUUCCAAUGCUUCCACGUCCUUCCUGUAAUGUGGCGACCAGAGCCCCAAGUGUGGUCGCACCAGCGUUGUGUACAGCUGCAACAUGACUUCAUGGCUCUGAAACUCAAUCCCUCUACCAAUAAAACCUCACACACCAUCCACCUUCUUAACAACCCUACCAACCUGGGUGGAAACUUUCAGGGAUCUGUGCACACGGAUCCUGAGAUCUCUUUGCUCAUCCACACUACCAAGAAUCUUACCAUUAGCCCAGUACUCUGUAUUCCUGUCACUCCUUCCAAAGUGAAUCACCUCACACUUUUCCGCGUUAAACUCCGGGAUAUUACCAGUGUCCCUAUUGGCUAUUUGUGCAGGAAGUGUAUCCGUCUGCAGCUACUGGUUAGCUGUUUUUCAGAGCUGGAGCUGUGGGUGCAGUCAGUAUGGAGCAUUCAUGAUACUGAGAAGGUUGUGGUAGCAUUCUCAACAGAUUGGUCACAAGCAGGUGAAGAUUACACAGACAGCAAGGGAAUGGGUGGCCAUCAGACAAGUAAAAGGCUCAGAAAUGAAGUGCUCGAGUCCCUCGUGGUCAUCGUCCUCAAACAAAUAUACUGUUUUUGGUACUGUUUGGUCGGGGGAGGGCUGGUGGUGGUGGGGUGGCCAAUCGUGAAGCAGCAUCAGUCAAGUUCAUGGCACUUGGAGUGACUCUGCUGCAGAGAAGGGGAGGAAAAUGAUGAAUAUGACUGUAGAGACAGGGGAUUCAAUAGUAAGGGGCACAGAGAGACAUGAAUCCAGGAUGGUAUGUUGCCUCCCUGGUGCCAGGAUCAGCGAUGACAUGGAGCAGCUUCAGGACAUUCUGGAGUGGGAGGGUGAACAUCCGAUUGUACUAGUGACAUAGGAGGACCUGAAAGCUGAAGAUAGGAAGAUAAGAGAUACAUUAAAAUACAAGAUCUCAAAUGUAGUAUUGUCAAGCUUACACCCAUUGCCACAUUGUGGUACGGAGGAGUUUUGUGUUGUGUUCAGUUGUACAAUCGACCUUUAUUCAGAGCUCUGUUACCGCAUGUGUGGGAGAGGCCAGAGUCCACUCCAAACCUGGCUUUCACGUGAGGCCUAAUUCCCCUCUUAAAUACAGCUCAGAUUGGAAGAGUGGGCAAUGACACUCAAACUUUCCCUGGCUGAUUGUAAUAUUUUUAUUCCUUUUGCUAGAUGUUAUUUACAUGCAAUAUUGAUGUCAUUGUUAGCCACACACCCCAAAUCAAUAUAUCCAAUCCAGUAAGCAAACAAUCAUGGACAAUACUAUGUUCAGCCUUAAACCCUCCCAUAAUCUCCUGAGGUUAGCUGGAAAAUGACUUCAUCUGUCUUUGACCUUACAAUGCUUUUGACAGUUAUAUUCCUCCUCAGACAUUUGCCAGCUGCACCAUGUUUUUUGCCAAAAACCAAAAUAGUAGCUUAUCACUGAGAACUUUUCCAAAUUCUCUACUAACUGUAGUGUGGAUUGUUAGAAAUUGUGAUAAAGUCUUUUAAACUCAACUCUGAUAUAAAGUAACUACAAUUUUGUAAUACAGUUGAAAAUUGUGGAAAAAUCCCUCUCUCACUUCAGCUUAAGAGACCAAACAAACAGUGUUUCUGACUUGCUGUUGCAGUUUGCAACCCCAACGAUUUGCAUGCUGCAAAUGAUUUUUAAAUUGAAGUUUCAUUUUCUACUCUAAGUGCUUUCCAUUAUUACUUUCUUGUUUUAAUAAAAAGCAUCUAUUCAAAUUCCACUGAGGAUGAAAUUCAGUCACUUUAGAGCUUUACCAAGCCAUUAAACAAAACUUGUUUAGAUUUCACAAAUAACUAAGGCACUAAUCAUGUCUUCACUUCGGAUUUUGCAAUCUAUCUUUGUCACUCUUCCAUUGAUCUUUGCAUGUAAGAAUUUAUUCAAAUUAUCCAUAUCUACAUUUCAAUUGUUUUAUCUCUCUGCAGUCCUGACUUCUCUCUUUAUAACCUUUCUUUGCCCCUUCCUAUGUUGUUGGUCUUUUAGAGGUUGUGUUUACACCAUUUAUUGCUUUGCCUUCCAUAAUGAUGCAGUGAGCUGCUUUUAUUGCUGACAAACAUUCGCUCAAGGAAUUCAGCUAACCAUUUCAUGUUAAUUGGUUGUUUGCAUUUCUGGUUACAAUUACCUAAACAGUUCAGAAUGCUGUAGGAUCAGACUUUUGCUUCUACUUUUUAAUUAAGUAACAAACUUGUGAUUGUGGCUGGACCAGGCCUUUAAAAACUGCCUCUUAUUAAAAUGCUUAUGUGUUUUGAACUGCCUGUUUACAGAAACCCAAGUAAAUUCCCUAAUGUUCCUUCUCAACAGGACUCUUUUAUGACCCCCACAGGACCUUUCGUGAUCUAAUCCAGUAACAGUGUGAGCUGCUACAAUGCACGUGCUUGUGAAAGCGAGAAUAAGAGGACAGAUGAGAUGAGUGCAUGGCUGGAGAUAUAACUUAAAGCGUUUAGAUUCCUGAGGCUUUGAGACUGUUUGUUUCUGGGGAAGGUGGGACAUGCACAAGCUUGAACAAUUGUCCUGGGCAGAGCUGGGACAGAUAUUCUUGUUGAUGUUUUUGCUAGUUCCACUGGUGAGGAUUUAAACUCGGAUGACAGGGGAAUGGGAACCAAAGUAUAGCUUCAGUAGUAAGAGACUCAGAUCAGCAAAUGGGACGUGAAAUUAGUUCAUGAUGUUGUCGGUGGCUGAAAGAUUAAAAGAAAGAAGGAUUAAUCAAGAUCAAAACUCUCUCAUCAUGCAUCAGACCUGAGAUCCCAGGAAUUGGUCUGGUGAACCUUCUUUACGAUCAUUCAGUAGCCAGGGCAUCCUUCCUUUGGAAAGGAGAACAAAGGUGCACACGACUCCAGGUGUGGUCUCACCAAGGCCCUUAUAGAAAGAUAUCCCUCUUCCUGUACUCGAAUCCUCUCACAAUGAAGGGCAAAAUAUCAUUUGCAUUCUUCACUACUUGCUGCUGCCUGUUUCCUAAAAGAGAAUAGGAGAGAAACACGGAACUAAAUGGGGUCAGACACCGGGGUAACAUUGUUGAACACACUGUCCCCAUUGUAUCAGUGCUGGUCAUCAAGCACCUAUUUAAGCUAGGCCCGUUUUCUGGCACUCGGUGUGUAACCUAUAUUAUGGUGCAAUGGAUGAUCAUCUCAACACUUCUUCAAGAUUGCAAUGGUUCCUGCAUCUAUCACCAUUUCAGAUGCUGCCAGAUCUGCUGUGGAUCUCCAUCUUUUUCUGUUUUUAUUUCAGAUUUCAGGUAUUUUGCUGUGUAUUCUCAGCCCUUCAGAAGCAUCAGAGGGUAUGGGGAGAAAACAGGAAUUGGAUUCAUUUUCUGAUGUAUAAAAUGCCUGCCCUUCA